UCAAACAAGCCCAAGAUUAAGCAUUCCAAAUCAACAGCUUCGACAUGCCAUCAACUCUGCUCAUCCUUUCAAUUCUUAUUUCACAUCUCCAACUAUUCAAAACCACCCUUCAUCUGGAAACAUCAAUACCACCAGUAAAACCACUGAUACAGAAGACCAAACCAUAAACCAGAAACCACCUUCUUCUUCUUCUAGUAUGGUAGAUAAGACAUGUAGAGAUUCUACAAAACCUCACCUUUUCAAUGAAACCUUGGACAAAGAGCCCUCCUCGAGCCUUCCAACAAUUAGCCCUUAUAGUUGUUUCCCUCACACGAAAUCCGUAAAAGUUUUGUCGAAUAUCUUGCUUCAAUUGGGCAUGAGGGAAUAGAUACAGAGAGCAUUUUCCAAAAGUCUCAAUAUCUAACCUCGUAUUUCCAGUCCGCAGCCAUAGAGAAACUCAUCUCACUUUCUCCUAACUUAUCUCUAAACACCUUUG
rnacentral:misc_RNA from 1 species